GCCGGGCAUGGUGGCUCAUGCCUGUAAUUCCAACACUUUGGGAGGCUGAGGCGGGUGGAUCACCUGUGGUCAGGAGCUCAAGACCAGCCUGGCCAACAUGGUGAAACCCUGUCUCUA
ensembl:misc_RNA Metazoa_SRP Metazoan signal recognition particle RNA